GGAUAACAUGCCCUAAGGUGGGGGAUAAUCUCGGGAAACUGAGGGUAAUACCCCAUAGGUCUGAUGUGCUGGAAUGCUUUCAGGCCGAAAACUCCGGUGCCUUAGGAUUGGUCUGCGGUCUAUCAGGCAGUAGUGGGUGUAACGGACCCACUAGCCCGUGACGGAUAUGGGCCUUGAGAGAGGGAGCCCAGAGAUGGACUCUGAGACAUGAGUCCAGGCCCUACGGGGCGCAGCAGUCGCGAAAACUUCGCAAUGGGGGCAACCCCGACGAGGGAAUUCCAAGUGCUAGCACUUUGUGUUAGCUGUUCUUCUGUCUAAAAAACAGGAGGAGUAAGGGGCGGGUAAGACGGGUGCCAGCCGCCGCGGUAAUACCCGCGCCCCAAGUGGUGGUCGAUAUUAUUGAGCCUAAAACGUCCGUAGCCGGUCUUCUAAAUCCUUGGGUAAAUCGGGCAGCUUAACUGUCCGAAGUCCGGGGAGACUGGGAGACUUGGGACCGGGAGAGGUCAGAGGUACUUCUGGGGUAGGGGUAAAAUCCUGUAAUCCUGGAAGGACCACCGGUGGCGAAGGCGUCUGACUAGAACGGAUCCGACGGUGAGGGACGAAGCCCUGGGGCGCAAACGGGAUUAGAUACCCCGGUAGUCCAGGGUGUAAACGCUGCGGGCUUGGUGUUGGGGGUCCUUAGUGGGCGCCCAGUGCCGGAGAGAAGUUGUUAAGCCUGCUGCUUGGGGAGUAUGUCCGCAAGGAUGAAACUUAA
rnacentral:rRNA from 2 species